GGCUCCGGCCACAGCACCCUGAACUCAUCUGAGCUCAGAAGCUAAGCAUGGUCAGGCAUGGUCAGGACUGGACUGGGAGAAAAGCAAGCCCAGAAGGGCCACAUGCACCCUCUGUAGCUGCAAACC
rnacentral:rRNA from 1 species